GUCGAGAAUUUUUCGCAAUGGGGGAAACCCUGACGGAGCGACGCCGCGUGGAGGAUGAAUGGCUUCGGCUUGUAAACUCCUGUCAUUUGAGAACAAGUGCUACCGUGUAACUAACGGGAGCUUGAUAGUAUCAGAAGAGGAAGAGGCGGCUAACUCUGUGCCAGCAGCCGCGGUAAUACAGAGGCCUCAAGCGUUGUUCGGAUUCAUUGGGCGUAAAGGGAGCGUAGGCGGUCGGGUAAGUCGGAUGUGAAAUCCUGGGGCUCAACCUCAGAACUGCAUUCGAUACUGCUUGGCUAGAGUACUGGAGAGGUGAGUGGAAUUCACGGUGUAGCAGUGAAAUGCGUAGAUAUCGUGAGGAAGACCAGCGGCGAAGGCGGCUCACUGGACAGUUACUGACGCUGAUGCUCGAAGGCCAGGGGAGCAAACGGG
rnacentral:rRNA from 1 species